UUUUUUUUUUUUUUUUUUUUUUUUUUUUUUUUUGCAAAAGGCAGGCUUGUGUUUUAAGUUAUACAGUAGGAAUAAGUUGUUGUAAAUACUUAUUAAAUAUAACUUUUUGGCGACCGUUUGAAUGUGAUACCAACGAGAAUACUAGUGACAAUCCAAUGGACGAUUUAGCGCUUUCGACAAAAUUGUCAUCAUCGGAGCUAAUGGUCAAUAUAAAAAUAAGUACCACUGCUUAUGAGUCAUAGAAACUACAAUAUGUAACCACUACCUAUGCAUGAGCAUAUUGUUGAACAUUAGAAUUCUAAGUGUAUUACAAUAUGGAAGGCGAAUUGGUCGUUUUCAUGUAAGUAUUUUAUUUUUGUAUUC
rnacentral:lncRNA from 1 species